UACGUAGGGCGCAAGCGUUGUCCGGAAUUAUUGGGCGUAAAGAGCUCGUAGGCGGCCAGUUGCGUCUGCUGUGAAAUCCCGGGGUUCAACCCCGGGCGUGCAGUGGAUACGGGCUGGCUAGAGGCAGGCAGGGGAGAACGGAAUUCCCGGUGUAGCGGUGAAAUGCGCAGAUAUCGGGAGGAACACCGGUGGCGAAGGCGGUUCUCUGGGCCUGUACUGACGCUGAGGAGCGAAAGCGUGGGGAGCGAACAGG
rnacentral:rRNA from 1 species